CCUACGGGAGGCAGCAGUGGGGAAUAUUGGGCAAUGGAGGAAACUCUGACCCAGCGACGCCGCGUGCGGGAUGAAGGCCUUCGGGUUGUAAACCGCUUUCAGUAGGGAAGAAGCGAAAGUGACGGUACCUACAAAAGAAGCACCGGCUAACUAUGUGCCAGCAGCCGCGGUAAUACAUAGGGUGCAAGCGUUGUCCGGAAUUAUUGGGCGUAAAGAGCUCGUAGGUCGUUUGUUACGUCGGAUGUGAAAACCUGAGGCUCAACCUCAGGCCUGCAUUCGAUACGGGCAAACUAGAGUUUGGUAGGGGAGACUGGAAUUCCUGGUGUAGCGGUGGAAUGCGCAGAUAUCAGGAGGAACACCAAUGGCGAAGGCAGGUCUCUGGGCCAAUACUGACACUGAGGAGCGAAAGUCUGGGGAGCGAACAGGAUUAGAUACCCUGGUAGUCCAGACCGUAAACGGUGGGCACUAGUUGUGGGAACCUUCCACGGUUUCUGCGACGCAGCUAACGCAUUAAGUGCCCCGCCUGGGGAGUACGAUCGCAAGAUUAAAACUUAAGGAAUUGACGG
rnacentral:rRNA from 1 species